GGAAAGUAAGAUCCCUGAAAGAUGAUCAGGUAGAUAGGUUUGGAGUGGAAGUGUAGCGAUACAUGGAGCGGACAAAUACUAAUCGAUCGAGGACUUAACCAA
rnacentral:rRNA from 1 species